rnacentral:piRNA from 1 species
UUACGUUGUAGAUGUCUAUUGGCUCCAG